GAUGAACGCUGGCGGCGUGCCUAAUACAUGCGAGUCGAGCGAACAGACGAGGAGCUUGCUCCUCUGACGUUAGCGGCGGACGGGUGAGUAACACGUGGAUAACCUACCUAUAAGACUGGGAUAACUUCGGGAAACCGGAGCUAAUACCGGAUAAUAUAUUGAACCGCAUGGUUCAAUAGUGAAAGACGGUUUUGCUGUCACUUAUAGAUGGAUCCGCGCCGCAUUAGCUAGUUGGUAAGGUAACGGCUUACCAAGGCAACGAUGCGUAGCCGACCUGAGAGAGGGAUCGGCCACACUGGAACUGAGACACGGUCCAGACUACUACGGGAGGCAGCAGUAGGGAAUCGUCCGCAAUGGGCGAAAGCCUGACGGAGCAACGCCGCGUGAGAGAUGAAGGUCUUCGGAUCGUAAAACUCUGUUAUUAGGGAAGAACAAAUGUGUAAGUAACUAUGCACGUCUUGACGGUACCUAAUCAGAAAGCCACGGCUAACUACGUG
rnacentral:rRNA from 1 species